GCCGGCUUAGCUCAGUUGGUAGAGCACCUGAUUUGUAAUCAGGGGGUCGUAGGUUCGAGUCCUAUAGCCGGCACCA
rnacentral:tRNA from 2 species